rnacentral:rRNA from 1 species
AUUGAACGCUGGCGGCAUGCUUUACACAUGCAAGUCGAACGGUAACAGGCCGCAAGGUGCUGACGAGUGGCGAACGGGUGAGUAAUGCAUCGGAACGUGCCCAGUCGUGGGGGAUAACGCAGCGAAAGCUGCGCUAAUACCGCAUACGAUCUAUGGAUGAAAGCGGGGGACCGUAAGGCCUCGCGCGAUUGGAGCGGCCGAUGUCAGAUUAGGUAGUUGGUGAGGUAAAGGCUGACCAAGCCGACGAUCUGUAGCUGGUCUAAGAGGACGACCAGCAACACUGGGACUGAGACACGGCCCAGACUCCUACGGGAGGCAGCAGUGGGGAAUUUUGGACAAUGGGGGCAACCCUGAUCCAGCAAUGCCGCGUGCAGGAAGAAGGCCUUCGGGUUGUAAACUGCUUUUGUACGGAACGAAACGGCUCCGGUUAAUACCCGGAGCUAAUGACGGUACCGUAAGAAUAAGCACCGGCUAACUACGUGCCAGCAGCCGCGGUAACAC